GCUUGCUCCCUGAUGUUAGCGGCGGACGGGUGAGUAACACGUGGGUAACCUGCCUGUAAGACUGGGAUAACUCCGGGAAACCGGGGCUAAUACCGGAUGGUUGUUUGAACCGCAUGGUUCAGACAUAAAAGGUGGCUUCGGCUACCACUUACAGAUGGACCCGCGGCGCAUUAGCUAGUUGGUGAGGUAACGGCUCACCAAGGCAACGAUGCGUAGCCGACCUGAGAGGGUGAUCGGCCACACUGGGACUGAGACACGGCCCAGACUCCUACGGGAGGCAGCAGUAGGGAAUCUUCCGCAAUGGACGAAAGUCUGACGGAGCAACGCCGCGUGAGUGAUGAAGGUUUUCGGAUCGUAAAGCUCUGUUGUUAGGGAAGAACAAGUGCCGUUCAAAUAGGGCGGCACCUUGACGGUACCUAACCAGAAAGCCACGGCUAACUACGUGCCAGCAGCCGCGGUAAUACGUAGGUGGCAAGCGUUGUCCGGAAUUAUUGGGCGUAAAGGGCUCGCAGGCGGUUUCUUAAGUCUGAUGUGAAAGCCCCCGGCUCAACCGGGGAGGGUCAUUGGAAACUGGGGAACUUGAGUGCAGAAGAGGAGAGUGGAAUUCCACGUGUAGCGGUGAAAUGCGUAGAGAUGUGGAGGAACACCAGUGGCGAAGGCGACUCUCUGGUCUGUAACUGACGCUGAGGAGCGAAAGCGUGGGGAGCGAACAGGAUUAGAUACCCUGGUAGUCCACGCCGUAAACGAUGAGUGCUAAGUGUUAGGGGGUUUCCGCCCCUUAGUGCUGCAGCUAACGCAUAA
rnacentral:rRNA from 1 species